CCUACGGGAGGCAGCAGUAGGGAAUCUUCCACAAUGGACGAAAGUCUGAUGGAGCAACGCCGCGUGAGUGACGAAGGGUUUCGGCUCGUACAGCUCUGGUGGUAGUGAAGAAAGAUAGAGGUAGUAACUGGCCUUUAUUUGACGGUAAUUACUUAGAAAGGCACGGCUAACUAAGUGCCAGAAGCCGCGGUAAUACGUAGGUGGCAAGCGUUGUCCGGAUUUAUUGGGGGUAAAGCGGGUGCAGGCGGGUCAAUAAGUCUGAUGUGAAAGCCUUCGGCUCAACCGGAGAAUUGCAUCAGAAACUGUUGAACUUGAGUGCAGAAGAGGAGAGUGGAACUCCAUGUGUAGCGGUGGAAUGCGUAGAUAUAUGGAAGAACACCAGUGGCGAAGGCGGCUCUCUGGUCUGCAACUGACGCUGAGGCUCGAAAGCAUGGGUAGCGAACAGGAUUAGAUACCCCAGUAGUC
rnacentral:rRNA from 1 species